rnacentral:snRNA from 1 species
GGAUGUGAGGGUGAUCUGGCUGUGACAUUUGUCAACUCAUUGAUCACCAGGGUUGAUGUGGCUAAUCUGGCUGGCUAGGCAGGUGGCCCCUUCCUCCACAGCACUCCAUAUGUGUCCCUCCCAGUGAUGCAUACUCAGUCAAAGAGGUCGACCAACACCUGUUUCCUUGGACAAGGGUAUACAGGUAGCUGCGCUCUCCUCCUAGAACCUCCAAAUAAGCUCUCAAGAACCACAAGUGCUCAAGUGCUUGAGAACCACUGAUCCAGUCCAAGACCAAUGAGGUACUGACUCAGGAUGGCCUCAAAGG